rnacentral:lncRNA from 1 species
UUUUACUCUCUUGAAGACAGAGGAAAUCAGCUUCUCUGGGAAUACACUUGGCAGCUAGCUGAGAGUCUAUUUGGAACACCUGUUGAAAGGAUCAUGCUACAAAAAGGUGAAGAAGGAUGAGAAGGAUAUUAAGUUGAAGGGGAUGUGGUCAGCGUGUUUGGAAACUUGUUUUAUCUACAACUUCAAUUUGGAGAGCCCAUGGGGAAAAACCAGAAAUGUGGAGAUAAUAAAGAACAGUCAAGGUAGUCACAGUGCUGUGGCCUGUGUAUCAGUGACUUGGAAGCUCUGAUGGCAGACAACCUGGAUGCCUCUGACAUUCUAGCUGUCAAUAGAGGAAAGUGACAUCAUGGAUUUAAAGAAUAGAGAAACUGCAGAGAUCAGGAUUAAGAGUUCACAAAAACAAUCUUGGUAGGAUCAUAGAAGCAAGAGAUGCAAUGCAUAUUAAAAAAGAAAUACUCUUCCUGUGAUCCUUAAUUUUCAAGGAGAAAUGUCAGCUCUCAAAAUUGUAGGGAAAGAUGUGAUUAUUUCCAGCAGUGUCGCAAUGAUGUUUUUGAGUAACGAACAGAACAAAGAUGGCUUGCUCUUGCCUGGGGUGAGGGACUCAGAGCCAGAAUGCUGAAGGGUCAUCUACUUGCACAAUAGAGUAAAUAAUGGAAUUGGAGAGGAGAGGAAAGUGUGCAGUCCUCAAGAAAUGGGAAUGCUAGAAGAUUGUAGGCUGAUGACUCCCAAUAUUUAGGGAAUAUAUGUUAUGAUAAAACAUAAAAAGCAAGACUGUGGGAGGAAAGAAGAGUUGACUAUGAUGGCUAUGAGUAAAUAAUCUUGGAAUCUCUUCCUUACCUAGGUGGAAGAACAACUGGAGUGGCAGUGAAAAUUUAACUAUUCCCAGUUGUCUAUGAGAGAGAGCAGAUAAUAUAAAAUAGAGAAGCUCUUUCUUUUUACUUCUAUGAUUCCUUAAGCCAGAAAAAAACAACUGUUGGUUUAAAAACAACAUAAUAAGCCUAGUCCUUUCACAAGACUGUCACUAUUUUGCCUAUUAUUAUCAAAAUACUUUACUUCUGAGGUUAAAACUCAUUAGGUCUCAAGGUUCUUAUUUCUUUAAUACCAUGAUUUAUAAUUAUUUUAAAAACUAUGACCUGUUUUAGUGUCUGUAAAACUUAUUAAGGAAUUAAAAUAUUUUUGAAAAAGGACCACAAAUGCCUUAGAAUGUCAUCCACAGUUUAUAGAAAAUUAUCGGUUCAUCUAAAACUUAAGACAACAGCUCCUAUAUCAAAAUGUGGGAAUAGAUUGGAAUUGGAGGUGUGUCCAACACUAAACAUGUAUCUGUC